GCAUAUCAAUAAGCGGAGGAAAAGAAACUAACAAGGAUUCCCCUAGUAACGGCGAGUGAAGCGGGAAGAGCUCAACAUUGUAAUCUGGCUGCUUCGCAGUCCGAGUUGUAGUCUAUAGAAGCAUGAUCCGCGCCGGCCCUUGGGCAUGUCUGUUGGAACGCAGUGUCAAAGAGGGUGAAAAUCCCGUACAUACCAAGGACGACCGUGUGCAUUGUGGUCUGCUCUCUAAGAGUCGAGUUGUUUGGGAAUGCAGCUCUAAUUGGGUGGUAAAUUCCAUCUAAAGCUAAAUAUCGACGAGAGACCGAUAGCGAACAAGUACAGUAAUGGAAAGAUGAAAAGUAGCCUGCAGAGGCAAUGAAACAAUACGUGAAACCGUUUGUAGGGAAGCGAUGGAACCUUUUCACGCUGCGAGGGUUCAGCUUGGCUUCGGCUUAGUGUAUUCCCUCGUUUUGCGGACCAGCAUCAGUUUGCUUCGCAGUAUAAGGGUGAUUGGAACGUGGCUUCUCCGGAAGUGUUAUAGCCUUUCACUGGAUGCUGUGUCGCAGACUGAGGACUGCAGUGCGCCGUAAGGCAUGGUCUUCGGGCCACGAGCACUUAGGAUGCUGGGCGAAUGGGUUUCAACGACCCGUCUUGAAACACGGACCAAGGAGUCUAACAUGCCUGCGAGUGUUUGAGUGUCAAACUCGAGCGCGUAAUGAAAGUGAACGAAGGUGGGAUCUGUAAAAGGUGCACCAUCGACCGGUCUUGAAGUUUACGGAUGGAUCUGAGUAAGAGCAUGUAUGUUGGGACCCGAAAGAUGGUGAACUAUGCCUGAAUAGGGUGAAGUCAGGUGAAAACCUGAUGGAGGCUCGUAGCGAUUCUGACGUGCAAAUCGAUCGUCAAAUUUGGGUAUAGGGGCGAAAGACUAAUCGAACCAUCUAGUAGCUGGUUCCUGCCGAA
rnacentral:rRNA from 1 species